UUUUCUUUUCCGUUUUCAAUAAUUAAAUUAUUUUGGUUUGCGUUUUUAAUUUUAUUGAUCUGUUUAUUUACACUAUGCAUCAGGUCAAGGAAAAAGUGUUGGAAAUUUACAGCCAUCUCCUCACGGCGUAUGUCCGACAUUCCCGCUUCACUUCCAUUGGCAGCAUAUUCCAACACGAUGGUCCAUACACUAGCACACUUUUCCUGCUAUAGAUGUACUAGAGAUGUUGAAACCUCUUGUGCUUUCCAGCUGCGAUCGUAUCCGGGUAGUGUUCCGUCGAUAGGAUUUUUCAUAAAGCCACAAAUCCGGAAUCGGUAUAGUUGUGCGGUAGAUCGUGCCCAAGAAUUUCUUUCCGUUAUGCUGCAGUCGUGUCUCGAUGACGAAGGCGGUGGAUGAAACGGAUAGCUGACGAUGGAGGUGCUCUUUAAGCGCAGCAGACAGACCCGGGUAGUAUACAUUACAUAGCAGCAGGUGAAGAAUGGCACUAUUACGGCUUGCACUAGCUUUCGUUUUGUUUGUAUCGAGAGCACAGAGACAAAUCGCCUGAAUGUCCUCAGAGUGUUAUACAUCUUCUUCACCACGUCAUUCACCUGCUGUGCCCAACUUAAUUUGCAGUCGAGUUGCAAGCCAAGGUUUGUUACACUGUAACUUAGUGGAAUCCUUGAACCACUGAAAAAGAUGUUCUCAUCCGGAACAACUGUUCCUGACUUACAGAAAAUAAACGCUUGAAAAAUCGACGAGCACCAAGACAA